rnacentral:rRNA from 1 species
UGCUGUGAACUCGAAGAGUAGGGCGGGACACGUGGUAUCCUGUCUGAAUAUGGGGGGACCAUCCUCCAAGGCUAAAUACUCCUGACUGACCGAUAGUGAACCAGUACCGUGAGGGAAAGGCGAAAAGAACCCCGGCGAGGGGAGUGAAAAAGAACCUGAAACCGUGUACGUACAAGCAGUGGGAGCACCUUCGGGUGUGACUGCGUACCUUUUGUAUAAUGGGUCAGCGACUUAUAUUCUGUAGCAAGGUUAACCGUAUAGGGGAGCCGAAGGGAAACCGAGUCUUAACUGGGCGUUAAGUUGCAGGGUAUAGACCCGAAACCCGGUGAUCUAGCCAUGGGCAGGUUGAAGGUUGGGUAACACUAACUGGAGGACCGAACCGACUAAUGUUGAAAAAUUAGCGGAUGACCUGUGGCUGGGGGUGAAAGGCCAAUCAAACCGGGAGAUAGCUGGUUCUCCCCGAAAGCUAUUUAGGUAGCGCCUCGUGAACUCAUCUUCGGGGGUAGAGCACUGUUUCGGCUAGGGGGCCAUCCCGGCUUACCAACCCGAUGCAAACUACGAAUACCGAAGAAUGUUAUCACGGGAGACACACGGCGGGUGCUAACGUCCGUCGUGAAGAGGGAAACAACCCAGACCGCCAGCUAAGGUCCCAAAGUCAUGGUUAAGUGGGAAACGAUGUGGGAAGGCACAGACAGCCAGGAUGUUGGCUUAGAAGCAGCCAUCAUUUAAAGAAAGCGUAAUAGCUCACUGGUCGAGUCGGCCUGCGCGGAAGAUGUAACGGGGCUAAACCAUGCACCGAAGCUGCGGCAGCGACACUAUGUGUUGUUGGGUAGGGGAGCGUUCUGUAAGCCGUUGAAGGUGUGCUGUGAGGCAUGCUGGAGGUAUCAGAAGUGCGAAUGCUGACAUAAGUAACGAUAAAGCGGGUGAAAAGCCCGCUCGCCGGAAGACCAAGGGUUCCUGUCCAACGUUAAUCGGGGCAGGGUGAGUCGACCCCUAAGGCGAGGCCGAAAGGCGUAGUCGAUGGGAAACAGGUUAAUAUUCCUGUACUUGGUGUUACUGCGAAGGGGGGACGGAGAAGGCUAUGUCAGCCGGGCGACGGUUGUCCCGGUUUAAGCAUGUAGGCGGAGGUUCCAGGUAAAUCCGGUACCUUUUAACGCUGAGGUGUGAUGACGAGGCACUACGGUGCUGAAGUGAUAAAUGCCCUGCUUCCAGGAAAAGCCUCUAAGCAUCAGGUAACACGAAAUCGUACCCCAAACCGACACAGGUGGUCAGGUAGAGAAUACCAAGGCGCUUGAGAGAACUCGGGUGAAGGAACUAGGCAAAAUGGUGCCGUAACUUCGGGAGAAGGCACGCUGAUAGGUAGGUGAAGUCCCUGCGGACGGAGCUGAAAUCAGUCGAAGAUACCAGCUGGCUGCAACUGUUUAUUAAAAACACAGCACUGUGCAAACACGAAAGUGGACGUAUACGGUGUGACGCCUGCCCGGUGCCGGAAGGUUAAUUGAUGGGGUUAGCGGCAACGCGAAGCUCUUGAUCGAAGCCCCGGUAAACGGCGGCCGUAACUAUAACGGUCCUAAGGUAGCGAAAUUCCUUGUCGGGUAAGUUCCGACCUGCACGAAUGGCGUAAUGAUGGCCAGGCUGUCUCCACCCGAGACUCAGUGAAAUUGAACUCGCUGUGAAGAUGCAGUGUACCCGCGGCAAGACGGAAAGACCCCGUGAACCUUUACUAUAGCUUGACACUGAACACUGGUCCUUGAUGUGUAGGAUAGGUGGGAGGCUUUGAAGCGUGGACGCCAGUCUGCGUGGAGCCAUCCUUGAAAUACCACCCUUUAAUGGCUGGUGUUCUAACGUAGACCCGUGAUCCGGGUUGCGGACAGUGUCUGGUGGG